rnacentral:rRNA from 1 species
AUUGAACGCUGGCGGCAGGCCUAACACAUGCAAGUCGAACGGUAACAGGAAGCAGCUUGCUGCUUCGCUGACGAGUGGCGGACGGGUGAGUUAUGUCUGGGAAACUGCCUGAUGGAGGGGGAUAACUACUGGAAACGGUAGCUAAUACCGCAUAACGUCGCAAGACCAAAGAGGGGGACCUUAGGGCCUCUUGCCAUCGGAUGUGCCCAGAUGGGAUUAGCUAGUAGGUGGGGUAACGGCUCACCUAGGCGACGAUCCCUAGCUGGUCUGAGAGGAUGACCAGCCACACUGGAACUGAGACACGGUCCAGACUCCUACGGGAGGCAGCAGUGGGGAAUAUUGCACAAUGGGCGCAAGCCUGAUGCAGCCAUGCCGCGUGUAUGAAGAAGGCCUUCGGGUUGUAAAGUACUUUCAGCGGGGAGGAAGGGAAUAAAGUUAAUACCUUUGCUCAUUGACGUUACCCGCAGAAGAAGCACCGGCUAACUCCGUG